GACGAACGCUGGCGGCGUGCUUAACACAUGCAAGUCGAACGGUAAGGCUCCAGCUUGCUGGGGUACACGAGUGGCGAACGGGUGAGUAACACGUGGGUGACCUGCCCUGCACUUCGGGAUAAGCCUGGGAAACUGGGUCUAAUACCGGAUAGGACCAUGGUGUGGAUACUGUGGUGGAAAGUUUUUUCGGUGUGGGAUGGGCCCGCGGCCUAUCAGCUUGUUGGUGGGGUAAUGGCCUACCAAGGCGGCGACGGGUAGCCGGCCUGAGAGGGUGGACGGCCACAUUGGGACUGAGACACGGCCCAGACUCCUACGGGAGGCAGCAGUGGGGAAUAUUGCACAAUGGGCGGAAGCCUGAUGCAGCGACGCCGCGUGGGGGAUGACGGCCUUCGGGUUGUAAACUCCUUUCACCUUCGACGAAGGGUUUCUGACGGUAGAUGGAGAAGAAGCACCGGCUAACUACGUG
rnacentral:rRNA from 1 species